ACCCCCAGCACCUCAGAAUCCAACUCUGGAUAGGACCUGUGAAUAAGUGAUUAAGUUAAAAUAGGGUCCUGUGGAUGGGCCCUAACCCAAUCUAACUGGUGUCCUUUUAAGAAGAGACACCAGAGAUGUGCACACACAGAGACAAGGCACGUGAGGACACAGAGACAAGGCGGCCACCUGCAAGCCAGGGAGAGGGGCCUCAGGGAAGCCAACCCUGCCUAUGCCUUGAUCUUGGACUUCCAGCCUCCAAAACUCCAAAAUCUGAGUGAAAUGGGUAUAAAUCAUGACCUAGAAUACAGUUCAAUUAUUCCUAUGAUGAAAGGAGCCUUCCUUGCACGCGGGGCUCUCGGUCUCAUUAUGAGUGGUGUCUUUGACAACCCAGGGCCCAUUAAAAACACCUUGAAGAAAGCAUUCACCACGCUAUGGAGCUUCACAAUCUAUACCAGGCUGGAAUCCUUGAGGGUGGCGUUAUCAAAUGAGGAAACAAUUCCUUUCAUUUUUCAUCCUAAGACUCAGGCAGCAAACAUGUUAUCUGGCCCUAUAAGCACCCCCAUGCUUCUGUGAGACCCAAGCAGGUUCUGCAUCACCACGACAGCC